rnacentral:rRNA from 1 species
UACGGAGGGUGCAAGCGUUGUCCGGAUUUAUUGGGUUUAAAGGGUGCGUAGGCGGCUUUUUAAGUCAGUGGUGAAAGCCUCCAGCUUAACUGGAGAACAGCCAUUGAUACUGAAGAGCUUGAGUACAGACGAGGUAGGCGGAAUUUAUGGUGUAGCGGUGAAAUGCAUAGAUACCAUAAAGAACUCCUAUUGCGAAGGCAGCUUACUAGGCUGUAACUGACGCUGAGGCACGAAAGCGUGGGGAUCAAACAGG